rnacentral:miRNA from 1 species
UGAGGCAGGAGAAUUGCUUGAACCCAGGAAGUGGAGGUUGCAGUGAGCCGAGAUUGGGCCACUGCACUCCAGCCUGGGUGACAGAGUGAGACUC